CACAUGUGACGUAGUUUGAUCCUGGCUCAGAACGAACGCUGGCGGCAGGCUUAACACAUGCAAGUCGAGCGCCCCGCAAGGGGAGCGGCAGACGGGUGAGUAACGCGUGGGAAUCUACCUAGUUCUACGGAACAACUCAGGGAAACUUGAGCUAAUACCGUAUACGCCCUUCGGGGGAAAGAUUUAUCGGAAUUAGAUGAGCCCGCGUUGGAUUAGCUAGUUGGUGAGGUAAUGGCUCACCAAGGCGACGAUCCAUAGCUGGUCUGAGAGGAUGAUCAGCCACACUGGGACUGAGACACGGCCCAGACUCCUACGGGAGGCAGCAGUGGGGAAUAUUGGACAAUGGGCGCAAGCCUGAUCCAGCCAUGCCGCGUGAGUGAUGACGGCCUUAGGGUUGUAAAGCUCUUUCAACGGUGAAGAUAAUGACGGUAACCGUAGAAGAAGCCCCGGCUAACUUCGUG
rnacentral:rRNA from 1 species